AUUACCUCUGCUUUACCAUGUUAUUAGACAUUGGUUUAACUCCAUUUAAGCAUUUAAACGUUAAAAGCAUUGCACUUGUACGACGAUGUAAUACCUUUUUUUUUUAACAGCCGAUGACGACGAAGUGAAAGACGAUGAACUUUGCUUAAACGGUCUUACAAAGUUGGAAGAUGAUUUUCGAGCUGGCGGGUCCGUCAACGGCCGUUCCAGGCAGAGGAGAAGGCUUGAUUGCGCCAAAGACUCCAGACAUCGAAUCCUUGCUCCGAGGGGAAAUCAUCGAAAACGACGGUGAAUGUCCGACAGGCACCCGCUAUUGGUAGCACUGGACAAGUCGGAUAUCCUUGCUUGGAUCCUUUUAAAGUUGCCCGAUAAACUGCUGAGAGUUGAUCUCUCCUCUUGUCCAAAGGUUUUUCGUUCAUUUUUACUUGUAAUACUGCCACUAGGGUUGAUGUAGUAGCUCCACAACAUAACCUUAAAGCCUGUGACUGGAUCCGGUCUAUUUUCCCAAGUCAUGUUUUUGAAGCAGAUUGGUAAAUAAUGCAUCCGUAAUCAAUAACAGAUGGAAUUAAAGUUAUAAAUAUAUACAUGUAUUGUUUUCAACGUUAACCUAUCAGCCCCCCAAUCAUUACCCCUCAAAGACCUCAUUAUAUUUAACACCUUUUUACUUUUUCCCCUAUUUUUUUAUUUUCCGGAAGGAACACUCCUGAAGGAAUAAAUAAAGUACUAUCUAAUCUAAUCUAAUCAAAUCUAUUUUGCUGAUGUGGGUUGACUAGUUCAUAUUUUUA